GCGACUCUAGGUUUCAAGUGGGGUGCUACGGUCCCACCAAUUUACAUGCCACCUCACCUAACAGUUAUUGGUGACAUAUAAACUAUGAGUGUACAACUCUUUUACAAUGCUUCUCAAGCAAGUUGUAGCGCUAUCAGGUCUCUAAGUAAUGUAGACCUCACCUAACAGUUAUUGGCCCCAUUCCUUAGUUAAGUCGGACCCACCGUAUAACCGCAGAAGCAAAGCCGUCAUUGGGUCCCUCACCUAACAGUUAUUGGGCCCAACCCUAUCUUUUCCCCUACAACAUCUCAUGCCUAAUAGAGAGGUCCAGUCCCCCGAUGCAACUUGCCCACUGUAUCCAGCCGAGGCAAAUCAACGCCGGAAAGACCUUAGCAGCUCUACUACGGUG
rnacentral:lncRNA from 1 species